GGAGUUGUGGCUCAGGAGUAGAGCACACACCUAUCAUGUGUGAGGCUCUGGGUUCAAUCCUCAGCACCA
rfam:Ictidomys tridecemlineatus contig116998, whole genome shotgun sequence.